AGCUAAUAGAUACCCUGGUAGUCCUGGCCCUAAACGAUGAGAACUGGGUAGCGGCCCGGGCAUGGGGUCGCUGCCGCAGCCAAAGUGCUAAGUUCUCCGCCUGGGGAGUAUGGCCGCAAGGCUGAAACUCAAAGGAAUUGACGGGGGCUCACACAAGCGGUGGAGCAUGUGGCUUAAUUCGAGGCUACGCGAAGAACCUUAUCCUAGGCUUGACAUGUCCGAAAGGGGCGAGAAGUAGGACCCGGAAACGGGGACGAACGGUAUCCAGCCCGGAACUUGCCACAGGUGCUGCAUGGCUGUCGUCAGCUCGUGUCGUGAGAUGUCGGGUUAAGUCCCAUAACGAGCGAAACCCUUACCCCCGAGUUGCCAGCGGGUCAGGCCGGGGUACUCUGGGGGGUACUGCCGGUGUCAAACCCGGAGGAAGGUGGGGUAUGACGUCAAGUCCUCAUGGCCUUUAUGCCUAGGGCUGCACACGUGCUACAAUGGCGUGGACAGA
rnacentral:rRNA from 1 species